CCUCCUUAUACGAUUUAGAACUUAUUUGUUCGUAGUGUCCACACAGAUGAUUGUUAGUUAGUUUUACCCUUUGGGUUUAACUGAUUAAUAUGCUCUUUAAAAAUUUGGAAAAGCUGAUAAUAAAAUUCGUAUGAAUAACAGUGUUAUUUGUACAGAGUUUUCAAAAGUAAAAAAGAAUGAUAGCAGUAUCAUUCAGUGCCAAUUUAAUCAUUCGUGAUUAAUUGGUAUCUACUUUAGUAUUCAAUAUUAACUUCUGGCGAAGUUAAACUGUCACAUAACAAAGACCCGUUUGGGUUGUAUGGUUAAGUGACUAAGCGUACACGGUGGAUGCA
rnacentral:misc_RNA from 1 species